AUUGAACGCUGGCGGCAGGCCUAACACAUGCAAGUCGAACGAGUGGCGGACGGGUGCGUAAUGUCUGGGAAACUGCCUGAUGGAGGGGGAUAACUACUGGAAACGGUAGCUAAUACCGCAUACCAUCGGAUGUGCCCAGAUGGGAUUAGCUAGUAGGUGGGGUAACGGCUCACCUAGGCGAAGAUCCCUAGAUGGUCUGAGAGGAUGACAAGCCACAUUGGACAUGAGACACGUUCCAGACUCCUCCGGUAGGCUGCAGUGGGGAAUAGUGCACAAUGGGCGCAAGCCUGAUGCAGCCAUGCCGCGUGUAUGAAGAAGGCCUUCGGGUUGUAAAGUACUUUCAGCGGGGAGGCGUUACCCGCAGAAGAAGCACCGGCUAACUCCGUGCCAGCAGCCGCGGUAAUUC
rnacentral:rRNA from 1 species